UCUUCUUCAUUGGUUUUCAAGAUGAACAUUUACUCUAUCUGGAUCCUCAUUAUUGUCAACCUGUGGUAGACGUCACUGAAGUUAACUUUUCACCAGAGUCAUUCCACUGUAGUUCACCUAAAAAGAUGCCAUUUAAUCGUAUGGACCCUAGCUGCACCAU